rnacentral:rRNA from 1 species
AAUGGCUCAUUAAAUCAGUUAUCGUUUAUUUGAUAGUACCUACCAACUACUUGGAUAACCGUGGUAAUUCUAGAGCUAAUACAUGCUAAAAACCCCGACUUCGGGAGGGGUGUAUUUAUUAGAUAAAAAACCAAUGCCCCUCGGGGCUUCUUGGUGAUUCAUGAUAACUUAACGGAUCGCAUGGCCUUGCGCCGGCGACGGUUCAUUCAAAUUUCUGCCCUAUCAACUUUCGAUGGUAAGGUAUUGGCUUACCAUGGUUUCAACGGGUAACGGGGAAUUAGGGUUCGAUUCCGGAGAGGGAGCCUGAGAAACGGCUACCACAUCCAAGGAAGGCAGCAGGCGCGCAAAUUACCCAAUCCCGACACGGGGAGGUAGUGACAAUAAAUACUGAUACAGGGCUCUUUUGGGUCUUGUAAUCGGAAUGAGUACAAUUUAAACCCCUUAACGAGGAACAAUUGGAGGGCAAGUCUGGUGCCAGCAGCCGCGGUAAUUCCAGCUCCAAUAGCGUAUAUUAAAGUUGUUGCAGUUAAAAAGCUCGUAGUUGAACCUUGGGCCUGGCUGGCCGGUCCGCCUCACCGCGUGUACUGGUCCGGCCGGGCCUUUCCUUCUGGAGAGCCGCAUGCCCUUCACUGGGUGUGCCGGGGAACCAGGACUUUUACUUUGAAAAAAUUAGAGUGUUCAAAGCAGGCCUUUGCUCGAAUACGUUAGCAUGGAAUAAUAGAAUAGGACGUGCGGUCCUAUUUUGUUGGUUUCUAGGACCGCCGUAAUGAUUAAUAGGGAUAGUCGGGGGCAUCAGUAUUCAAUUGUCAGAGGUGAAAUUCUUGGAUUUAUUGAAGACUAACUACUGCGAAAGCAUUUGCCAAGGAUGUUUUCAUUAAUCAGUGAACGAAAGUUAGGGGAUCGAAGACGAUCAGAUACCGUCGUAGUCUUAACCGUAAACUAUGCCGACUAGGGAUCGGGCGAUGUUUCUAUCUUGACUCGCUCGGCACCU